rnacentral:tRNA from 1 species
GCCUGGCGGGCUCAGUCGGUAAAGCAAGUGACUCCUGAUCUUGGGGUUGUGAGUUAGAGUCCCACGCUGGGUU